GCGUGUGUGAAGAAGGCCUGCGGGUUGUAAAGCACUUUCAGAUGGGAAGAUAAUGACGGUACCAUCAGAAGAAGCACCGGCUAACUCUGUGCCAGCAGCCGCGGUAAUACAGAGGGUGCGAGCGUUAAUCGGAAUUACUGGGCGUAAAGCGCGCGUAGGCGGUUUGAUCAGUCGGAUGUGAAAGCCCCGGGCUUAACCUGGGAAUUGCAUUCGAUACUGUCAGGCUAGAGUAUGGUAGAGGGAAGUGGAAUUCCAGGUGUAGCGGUGAAAUGCGU
rnacentral:rRNA from 1 species